UGAAAACCAAGCCCAUCUCCAAACCACCGCCUGUAGUGUGACGUCAUUUCUACCGACGCGUCUGUGCGUGUGCGCACGCGCAGUGUCACAUCUAUAGUGGACAUCUUGGAAUUAAAGGGGCUCCAAAGGAAUCCUCACAAAAGCAACGAUUUCAGGCCGCUCCUCUGCUAGAUCAUGUCCACGAUGGUGUACCCUCGUGAUGAGAAGCUGGAGAAGUUAUCGCAGGAGGAGAUCAUCUCCAACACCAAGCUGGUGAUCCAGGGGCUGGAGGCUCUGAAGAACGAGCACAACUCCAUCCUGCACAGCCUCCUGGAGACCAUCAAGUGCCUGAAGAAGGACGAGGAGGCCAAUGUGGUGCACGAGAAGUCCAACCUGCUCCGGAAGUCUGUGGAGAUGAUUGAGCUGGGGCUGGGCGAGGCUCAGGUUAUGAUGGCUCUGUCUAACCAUCUGAACGCGGUGGAGUCGGAGAAGCAGAAGCUGCGCGCUCAGGUGCGCCGACUCUGUCAGGAAAACCAGUGGCUUCGGGACGAGCUGGCCAACACACAGCAGAAGCUGCAGAAGAGCGAGCAGAGCGUGGCACAGCUGGAGGAGGAGAAGAAACACCUGGAGUUCAUGAACCAGCUCAAGAAGUACGACGAAGACGUGUCGCCUUCGGAGGAGAAAGAUGGUGAGCCGCCCAAGGACUCUCUGGAUGAUCUUUUUCCCAACGAUGAGGAGGAGCACACUCAAGGAAUGCAGCACCAGCACAACAGCGCCGCCGUAGCAGCCGCACAGCAGGGCGGAUACGAAAUCCCGGCUCGCCUCCGAACCCUCCACAACCUGGUGAUCCAGUACGCGUCUCAGGGCCGGUACGAGGUGGCGGUACCACUCUGCAAACAGGCUCUGGAGGACCUGGAGAAAACCUCCGGACACGACCACCCCGAUGUGGCCACCAUGCUCAACAUCCUGGCACUGGUGUACAGGGAUCAGAAUAAAUAUAAAGAGGCUGCUCACCUGCUGAACGAUGCUCUCUCCAUCAGAGAGAAAACACUUGGGAAAGACCAUCCUGCAGUUGCAGCCACUCUCAAUAAUCUGGCUGUGCUGUACGGGAAGAGAGGCAAGUACAAAGAGGCUGAGCCGCUGUGUAAACGAGCCCUUGAGAUACGAGAGAAGGUGUUGGGGAAGGAUCAUCCUGACGUGGCGAAGCAGCUGAAUAAUCUGGCGCUGUUGUGUCAGAAUCAGGGCAAGUAUGAAGAGGUGGAGUAUUAUUACUGCAGAGCUCUGGAGAUCUACGAGUGCCGGCUCGGUCCAGACGACCCCAACGUGGCCAAAACCAAGAACAACCUGGCGUCCUGCUUUCUCAAACAGGGCAAAUACAAAGAAGCCGAGGUUCUGUACAAAGAGAUUCUGACCCGCGCUCACGAGAAGGAGUUUGGAUCGGUGGAUGCUGAAAACAAGCCCAUCUGGAUGCACGCGGAGGAGAGAGAGGAGAUGAGCAAGGGGAAGCACAGAGACAACACGCCAUACGGAGAAUACGGAGGCUGGUACAAAGCCUGUAAAGUCAACAGUCCGACGGUCAAUACGACCCUGAGGAAUCUGGGCGCUCUGUACCGCAGACAGGGCAAGAUGGAGGCGGCGGAGACACUGGAGGAGUGCGCCAUGAGAUCCCGCAAACAGAGCAACUCCGGUCUGGACCCAGUCCAUCAGACGCGUGUGGUGGAGAUCCUGAAGGAGGGCGACGGCAGUGAGCGCCGGCGCAGCAGAGACAGUCUGUCUAGCGUAAAGUACGAGAGCGGCUCUGAGGGCGGCGAUGAAGUGAGUAUGGCUAUAGAGUGGAGCGGGGUGAGUACACAUCCACUGCAUCCACCAAUCACAGCACAGCUGCCUCUCAACAGGUGCCAUCAUGAUGACAUCAGCAUCACACGGCAAAAAAUGACGUUCUUCCUCAGUGUUUUUGUCUUGUUUUCCAGUACAAAUAUCUAAACAUUCUUAAAUCAAGAUACAUUUACUGGAGAAGCAAAAUGACUGAAGAUAACAAGUCUUGUUUUAUGAAAAAUGUACCAAAAUUAAGCGGCUUUAUGCUUAAAACACGAACAAAUAUCUGCCAAUGGGGUCAGAAAAAUAAACUUCAUUCAAAGGGAAAACAAGGUUAUUUUUCUGACCCCAUCGGCAGAUAUUUGUUCUUGUUUUAAGCACAAACUCACUUCAUUUUGAUACAUAAAACAAAACUCAAUAUCUUCAGUCUUUUUUUUUUUUCUCCAGUAAAUCUAUCUUGAUUUAAGAAUGUUUAGAUAUUUGUGCUGGAAAACGAGACAAAAACACUGAGGAAGAACGUCAUUUCUUGCAGUGCAGAUAAUGUUGGUGUAGCUGAAUGACACUUUCCAGCCGCCGUUUGGCCUUUUGUCGACCAGUCAUGUAAAUCAUUGAAUGGUACCUGUUGAGUGUCUGCUCUGUUCAAGGUCUUUAUGAGCUGAUUGUGUGUCCUGGCAUGUUUGUGCUGAUUUAACAUGCUUGAAUUUGUGUAUGAAAGUGUUCGUAAGCAUCUCUGACACACACAAGCCUCCCCGUACAGAUCCGUGACGCACACAAUAUCCUCGCCAGAACACGUCCAGGUCACAUGACCCAGAGAUCAUUUUCUUUAUGUGAAUUUCUCAUGUUAAGGCCCGUUCACACCAAGAACGAUAACUAUAAAGAUAACGAUAAAGAUAUAGUUCUAAAAAUCGUUCUAAAUACAAAAGAAUAGCACUGUCCACACUGCAGCUAUAACGAUAACGAUAUAGAGAAACAAUAUCGUUGGGAUCACUUUCAGAACAAUUUUUUUCCAGCUGUUGAAUGAUAAAACACUGACAGCCAAUCAGAAUCCAUUCUAAUUUAAGGGCUUGUGUAUUUAAAAUGGCAGACGACAUUACAGAGAAGUUAAUUGCAGAGGUCCAGAAAAAGCCACCACUGUUUGGCAAGUCAAACCCCCUUUUCAAGGAUACUUUAAAGAAAAUGGAUAUAUGGAAAACAAUCGGUCAUACCCUCGGAAUACAUGGUGAGAUUAAAGAUGAGAUCAUUAUGUCAGGCUAGAAAACAGUGUAACACAAAAUUACCUCAGGUAUCCAGCGCUAGUUUCGACAACAUUGUCUUGCUUCCUUUGAAGUUGCAGUGAAAAAGACUAGGUGUUGUUUUUAUUCCACUAUAUUGACUUUGUCAGCUAAAUUCACUGUUAGAUUAGAUCGAUUACACUAGCUAUUCACUCGAAACAUAGCAUGCUGAGGACAUCUGCUGGUUAAAGCCGUGUAAUUGCAACAAGAACAGCAAAAACAUGUUGUACACACUUUGAAACCUCAGCACGUGAGCUUAGAAUAAACAGACCGUUAUCGUUCGUUGGUGUGGACACAAAUAUAGUUAUCGUUCUUGGGGUGAACGGGCCUUUAUUGUUGUGAUUUUGGGCUGAAAUAUGAUGUGGUCGUGUCCUCGUGCGGUUUGGUGUUGUGUGACGUCACUAGAGCGCUGAGACGGUGUGGUGUGUCCAGGAUGUUCAGUCUGAUGUCAUAUUCUGCAUGUGAAGCUUAAUGCGUUCGAUCAUUAACACAUGCUCUGUCCUGCUUACAGAGUCACUGCUAGUGUAUGCAAUGAAAUAAUAAAAAUAACAUGAAGCUCUGAACACGCCACUAAAGCACUCAGGAUCUCUUGCCUUACAAAGCUUCUUAAAGGGACAGUUCACCCAUAAAUGAACAUGGACUUGCCUUGACUAGUUUUCAGUGACUGUGUGUUUAAUACAGGUUAAAACAUGUGAAAGAAUCUUUCAGUGCAGUGAGACAAAAUAAACACACAAUCACUUAAAACUCAUCUAAAUGUCACAUGCAGUGUUGUGUCUUUUGUUUUAUGGAUUGUUAGAUGUUUGAACUGGAACAUGAGCCGAAACAGAUCAGAUGUGUGUGUGUUGUGAUGGUGUGUGUUUCUGUGUGAUUUCUCAGGCAGUGCGCGUAAGACUGUGGAUGUGAAGAUGACAUUCAUACCCAGAAUAAAUCAAUCUUGCAUUCUCAGAUUGUUUCUGACUCCACCUCAUGUCUCAUGAUGAUCUCACAUGGUUCUUUCACAUUAGACAUCAUUAGUGUUUGUUUCAGUGGUUCAUCUCAAGUGGUCCAAAAACGAUAAAGUUGGUUGACGUGACGCUCAGCGUGUGUUUGCCUGUGCAUGCGACCUGCAUGAAUCUGUGCGCUCACCAUCACUACCUGUUACUAACCAGCCACGUCAUCGCAGUUGUUGCCAUGACAACCAAUCAGCCAAUUUGGGCUGCCUUUCCCAACAGCAUCGCGGGCCUAAUAGCUGCUAGUAAGCGCUUUCAGCACUAUGAUCUACUUAUGAGGCUUUUGGGAAACGCAGCCGUGAUCAGUUUUUCCCGACACAGUGGAUUGUGCUCUUCCCUUCUCCGUAAGAGACUCGCUGGACUGGAAGAGAUCAGACAGAGAGGAACUUAACAUCUAGUUUUAAGAUUUAAAUGUUUUUGAAAGAAGUCUCUUCUGCUCACCAAGGCUGCAAUUUUGUUAAAAAAUACAGUAAAAACAGUGAAAUAUUAUUACAAUGUAAAAUCGCUGUUUGCUAUGUGAAUAUAUAGUAAACUAUAAUUUAUUCCUGUGAACAAAGCUGAAUUUUCAGCAUCAUUACUCCAGUCUUUAGUGUCACAUGAUCCUUCAGAAAUCAUUCUAAUCUGAUGAUUUGCUGCUCAAGAAACAUUUCUGAUUCUUAUCGAUGUUGAAAACAGUUGUGCUGCUUCAGAUUUUUGUGGAAACUGUGAUACAUUUUAUUUUUCAGGAUUCUUUGAUGAAUAGAAGGUUCAAAAGAACAGCAUUUGUUUGAAAUAGAAUCUUUUGUAACAUUAUAAAUGUCUUUACUGUCACUUUUGAUCAAUUUAAUGCUUCCUUGCUGAAUAAAAGUAUUAAUCUUACUCACCCCAGACUUUUGAAUGGUAGUGUAUCACACUAAUGAUAUUUCACUGUUUUUACUGUGCUUUUGAUCAAAUAAAUACAGCCUUGGUGAGCAGAAGAGACUUAAAAAAUCGUAAUGAUUUCAGACUUGACUGUCAGUGUAAAUAUAAACACUGACACACAUCAUUAUAUAAAUAGACUGGGAUUUGUGAUCUUGUCCUUGCAAGCAAACACACACACUGUUUAUGUCGAAGAUAAAUCACUGCUCUUCAAAUGAAGAUCAGCCCAGCCUUUGUUUCCUGUUCUACUUCCUGUGUCGUGACCUCAGUGAGAGACAGGAACUACUACUCUCUCUGCUUUCACUUAUUAUUAGCAUAACAAAAACAUUGUUUUAAACAUGACCAGAGUGUUGUUUUAAAAAGCAGCAAUUAAUGAAUUCAAGAAAUAAAUUACUUUAUUAUUAAGAAUGAUGAUAAAUACUUUUUAAGAAAAAUGCUGAUUUAAGAUGUGUUAUCUGCAUUUGGCCAAAAACUAAAUGUAGUAGAAGUGUGUGUGAUGCUUGUGUCUGCAGGGGCAAGAGAACAACCGUCUGAUAGACAGACAGAGAGACACAGAGGCAGAGAGACAGACAGGCAAAGAGACAGACAGGCAUCCAGACAGAUAGACUGACAGACAGACAGACAUAGAGACAGACAGACAUACAUACAUACAGAGAGAUAGACAGGCAUCCAGACAGACAAACAAACAGAGAGACAGACAGGCAGAGAUAUAGACAGGCAGGCAGGCAUCCAGACAGACAGAAAGGCAGAGAGACGGACAGACAGACAUACAUACCUACAUAUAGAGAGAUAAACAGGCAUCCAGACAGACAGGCACAGAGACAGACAGACAUACUUACAGAGAGAUAGACAAGCAUCCAGACAGACAACCAGACAGACAGACAGACAGACAGACAGGUAUCCAGACAGACAGAGUGGCAGAGAGACAGACAGACAUACAUACAUACAUAGAGAGAUAAACAGGCAUCCAGACAGACAGGCACAGAGACAGACAGACAUACAUACAGAGAGAUGGACAAGCAUCCAGACAGACAGACAACCAACCAGACAGAGAGACAGGUAUCCAGACAGACAGGCAUCCAGACAGAGUGGCAGAGAGAUAAACAGGCAUCCAGACAGACAGAGAGACAGGCAGAGAGACAGACAGGCAGACAUACAUACAUACAUACAUACCUACAUACAGAGAGAUAAACGGGCAUCCAGACAGACAGGCAGAGAGACAGACAGGCAGAGUGGCAGAGAGACAGACAGACAGACAGACAUACAGAGAGAUAGACAGGCAUCCAGAGAGACAGGCAGAGAGACAGACAGGCAGAGAGACAGACAGAGAGACAGUCAGACAGACAGAGAAAUAGACAGAGAGACAGACAGACAUACAGAGAAAUAGACAGAGAGACAGACAGACAGACAGACAUACAGAGAGAUAAACAGGCAUCCAGACAGACAGACAGACAGACAGACAGAGAGACAGGCAAAGAGACAGACAUACAUACCUACAUACCUACAUACAGAGAGAUAAACAGGCAUCCAGACAGACAGGCAGAGAGACAGACAGACAGGCAGAGUGGCAGAGAGACAGACAGACAGACAGACAUACAGAGAGAUAGACAGGCAUCCAGACAGACAGACAGACAGGCAUCCAGACAGACAGACAGACAGACAGACAGAGAGAUAGGCAGAGAGACAGACAGGCAGACAGACAGACAGACAGACAGAGAGACAGAGAGACAGUCAGAUGGACAGAGAGAUAGACAGACACAGACAGACAGACAGGCCACACGUGUGUUUGAAAUGAGCUCUUAAUGGUGUGCUGUCUCUCUCUCUCUUCAUCAGGCAUAAAGCCAUCAAGAGUUUCCCUCACCUUCUUCCUCCUCACACAGGAAGUGACGUGUUCGUAUCAUCCUCUGCCAUAGCGGGUGUCCUUUAGUCCACCGGCCUUCACCGGCGACGCGUCUCUCUCCUGCAUUCUGCUAUCUUCUUCUGUCUUCGGUUGACGUGACGUCGUCUUUGGGCUCUUCGUCUCUUUCUCCUUUCCGUCUCUCUCUCAUCUCUGAUCCGUUGAUGAUGGACGUCGACACGUUCGCUGUCUGACGUCGCUGAUGAACUUUCAGACUGAACUUUCUUUUACCUCUGAUGGUUUUUGCUCUCUUUCUCCAUUAGACUGUUUUGCCGUCUGUGGUUUUGAACGGCUUCUGGUGUUGAACAAUCACUGUUGGUGUUUCACAGAAACCUUGAAACUUGCUCUUGAUACUUUUUGUUAUUAUUUUUGUUUUGUUUUUUGUAAUAUAUGAUAAAUGAUGUUUUGGUGUCGCUUGAGGACGUGUGUGACACACAUAUCUAAAGCUGAACAGCACAACGAACACAGACGGCUUCUCUGUGCUUCGGUGUCAAAGUUACGUUUACAGUAUUCACCAUUAACACUUGCCGUGAGGUUUGACGCAUUAGUCAGCAGAGGCCAUAUUCUAGUUCUCUCAAUCAUAUAUAUUAUAUUUCAGCUAAUUAUACUAACGAGAAAUGAUCUUGUGUUUGUUUAUCUGCGGCCUUGAGAUAGAUGAUCGAAUCCUCAUAUAUUUCCACCUGCAAAGGGAACAACAGGAUUCAGAUGUCAGUAUUUAGAGAUUUCAAACAUGAACCAUUUUCCUCGUUCGUUCGACUCAAUCCUGUGUACGAACAGCAUUUCUGAGCGAUUAAAUCAUUUCAUUGAGCUUGUUAAAUGUGCUCAAGGCCGAACGCACAGACAUUGAACACACAUCAGUGUUUGCGCUUGAUGAAACGCCUUAAAGAAGCGACACAGAAGCUGAUGUGACUGUACUGUAUCACUCAAUGUCCUUUCAGUUCAGUUUAGUGCACGUGUCAAAUGAUGUCUGUGCGCUCGUUUAUUUCCCUAUUUUCACUAAUGAUGAUAGUUUGAUCACCAUUCCAAACACACACACAUGAUGAUGAUGAUGAUGCAGUAUAAAACGAACAAAUGUUUCUCCUGUUCUCUUGAUAACUGACGUGUUUAUGCCGUGUGUCGUGGAAUGCUGCUUAUUUAUUGAUGGUUUUGGCUCUUCUGUAUCUGUUUUAUUCAGAGCGUUUGUUCUCUAUCAUAGUGAGUAGAUCUGCAAAUAAAUAUAUAUAAACGUAUUACUCCACUGCAUUGUGAUGUUUGUUGAUAUCCUCAAUAAAGGUUUCAUUUCUGGACUUUCUCAUGA